UACGUAGGGUGCAAGUGUUGUCCGGAAUUAUUGGGCGUAAAGAGCUCGUAGGCGGUCUGUCGCGUCGGCUGUGAAAUCCCGAGGCUCAACCUCGGGUCUGCAGUCGAUACGGGCAAACUAGAGUAUUGCAGGGGAGACUGGAAUUCCUGGUGUAGCGGUGAAAUGCGCAGAUAUCAGGAGGAACACCGGUGGCGAAGGCGGGUCUCUGGGCAAUAACUGACGCUGAGGAGCGAAAGCGUGGGGAGCGAACAGG
rnacentral:rRNA from 1 species